UACGUAGGGAGCAAGCGUUGUCCGGAAUCAUUGGGCGUAAAGCGCGCGUAGGUGGCUCUAUAAGUCCGUUGUGAAAGUCAAAGGCUCAACCUUUGAAAGCCGAUGGAUACUGUAGAGCUAGAGUACGGAAGAGGCGAGUGGAAUUCCCGGUGUAGCGGUGAAAUGCGCAGAUAUCGGGAGGAACACCAAUUGCGAAGGCAGCUCGCUGGGACGUUACUGACGCUGAGACGCGAAAGCGUGGGGAGCAAACAGG
rnacentral:rRNA from 1 species